rnacentral:lncRNA from 1 species
AAGUUCUCUCUGGAAGCUAUGUUCCUAUGCAUGCAAUGAAGAAGUGCCAUCCCUUCUUUAGUACUGACAUUGCAGUCAUUGCCCUUGCGUACUUCAAAACAAAUGGGGUCAGUAAUGAAAGUGACACUGAGGGGCCACUCUGGUUCGCAUACUGGCUGGGUCAGCCAAAUGGGCUCACCCAUUGAUAAAACCUCACCUAUAAAGUCACAAGCACCGACUUCUCACUCCCUUGGAAGCCUCUUCACAUCAGGCAUUUGGUAAGAAGAACCAGCCAUUAUAAAGGGCUUAGUAGUUUACUCCCAAAAGUUGCUAAGACACUGGUUCAGUGCCAGACUAGUUUGCCAACACUUAGCAUUGAUUAUGUUUCCUAAAAUGGCUAGCGCCGACUGUGUUCGCUAAUAGUUAGCGCCGACUGUGUCUGCUAACCCUUAGCACUGGCUGCAUCUGCUAGCUCUCAGCGUCGAUUGAGCUUGUCAAUGCCCAGUGUCGGUUGCGUACCAAUGGCUAGCGUCGGCUGAGUUUGUCAACACUCAGCAUCGGUUGAGAUUGUCAAUGCCGAACGCCGUUUGUGUCCUCCAAAGGCUAGUGCUGACUGUUAUUGGAUCUCUCACACGUGCCACGAAUUCUAGUUGUGACACCUCGAACUCCACUAUGUCGACUGAUAACCGUCGCCACAUCCUUCAGCACCACCUGACACACGCACGAAUGCCAACCAUCACCAUGCCUCGCUGCUCUGCCUGACACAUGAAUGAGGUAACCGUACACCUUCCCUGCGAUGAUUCACCUCCCGCAACUGUACACCUUCCUUGCGACAGUCUACCUUCAGUAACUGUUCAUUUC